CUGAACAACCUGAUGCCUGGCUCCGAUUUCUAGGAGGGAGAGGAGGUUCUUUUCAUCUCUGUAUCCCCGGCGUGAGAUGAAGAAACAACGGUUCAAACGUUGGUCCGACCAACAUUUGUUACAGAUGUUGUUUUUUACAUAACGUUGUUUGUUACAGAUGUUAAUUGGGGAGAUGGGGAAGGGGAGGGCGGGCGCUGUUAUGAAUUGGGGUGAUGGGGAAGGGAAGGAGGGCGAUAGAAAGAAGAAGCAAGGAGUUUUGAUAGGAAGCAGGAGGGACACAGUCAGCACCGUGGAUCCAGCGAGGUUCGUAGUUCAGCCAUUGAUCUUCAGUAGCGGUGGGUCAUUGCUCUGUUGUUGUUCUGUUGACAACGACGAUGGCGACGACGAUGACCGUGGUGAUGAUGGCUCCUUUUCGAUGCUCUCCAAGCGGUCGAGUCAGCUCUCCUUGCAGUGGCAGCUUCUGGGGCUCUGGGAUCUCAGCAGAAAUUCCUUUCUUCCCACCUUCCGGGCCGUGCCAGCAGAUCAGAGGGAGCAGGGAUGCCCACCCGCAUCCUGUUUUUCAUGAGAUACGAUGGUACCAUUGCCCAGUUUUCCCAUACCAGGCUGGAGCUCUUUAGUCACAGGUCAGGUCUUCCAUAAGCACUCCUGAGUGCUCCCUUCCAGAGGCAAGCAGCUCUGCAGGAAGGAGCUUUCAAAUAUUCCCAGAGGGAUGGCAGUCAUCACACGGUAGCACCCAUCACCUGCCUCCUCAACAAAUCAAUCCGGCUCUUAUCACAAGGAAUACCUCAGGAAGCAAGCUUUGAGCCAAAAAGAACCAAACAAGGAUUCUCACACCUGAUCUAGUCGUGCCCAUCCUCAUCCACUGCAGGGAAGUCAGGCUAGAAGGUCUUGAAGGGUCCCUUCCAACUCAAACGAUUGGGGAAUCCUCCCUUGGAGACGGAACCCAUCCCCAGCACCUGACGUUGGCUCGGAGGAGGACUUGGGGGUCUUGGGGUGACCCCACGGCUCCCCACACCCCCAGCCCAUAUUCCCCACAUCCCCCCAGGUUCCAUACCGCCUGCGCCAGCUGACAGCCCUGCAGCAACGCUCGCUUUACGUCGGACCCCAAACGGUGACCGCGACCCCGCAGCUCCCAGGGCUUUUCCAGGGGAUGGAGAUGAAACCCCACCAAACCAAGGGCGGUCACCGCGUCACCCAAUUCCUCACCUACAACUGCCUGGCGACGGACGCAGACCUUUACAGCGAGUGUCUCCGGAGCUUCUGGACGUGUCCCCACUGCGGGCUCCACGCACCCUUCACCCCCAUGGAGCGAGUCUGCCACGAGAACGCCUGCCGGCCGCCCGACGCCCCCCCAGAAGAGGAACCCCAGAGCUGCCCCCAGAGCUCAGCCCUGCAGCGCCCGUACCGCUGCGAUGUGUGCCAGCAGGAUUUCUCCUUCACCCCCACCCAGAUCCUCCGGCACCGACGGCAGCACCGCUGAUGGGAGAAACCCCAAAUGGAUUUGGGACAUCCCCUCUGAUAGACGAAGGCUGGAUCGCGUUCGUUAUCGCCGCCUUCGUUAUCAGCCCCCGCCACGGGUCAUUAGCGUGGCAUGGGGGGGGCUGUGCUGCUAAUUAAACUCAUUUAAUGCUGCUAAUUUGUAGCUGUGCAGCCGGAAGAAUCCUCAUCACUGAACGACGUCGUGACGAUUUUGGGUAACGAUGCGCUGCGAGAACAGAACGCAUUGGGGUUUUAAUUAGGGUUGUUUUGGCUUAAUUAUGCAAAGUUAAGCUUCGCUGGCUGCAGAAUGGGGGGAAAAAUGGGGAGUUUGGGGUUUUUUUUUCCUUUAAAAAUGGAUUUUUUUUCCCCCCUUUUUGGCUUCUCUUCUGUUCUCCUUGUUGGGAUGAAUAUAUCUGCGAUUAAUUAGCAGAUAAAUUAGCAGAAGUGGGUCACUGCCACCCGGCCCCCAGAAAUUAAUUAAGCCGGAGGUUUUAAGCAGCUUAAUAGUUAAUUUUUGGGGAGGGAAAUGCAAAUUUUUGGCUCCUCCUCCAUCACUGCUCCCUUUCCACCAGCGUUUGUGGCUUUUUUUGACGUCGCCAACCCAAACUUUGCUGGAUUUCUGUGAUUUGUCCUCAUUUUUUUCCAGUCAUAG